rnacentral:lncRNA from 1 species
AUGCUGCUUGGCAAGGUCACUUUGCACAACAACAGACAGGAUAUCCAGUGCAGGUGUUUGAGUAGGUGAAUCAGAUUGCUAUAAGGGCGCGGAAAUCAUUGCGUAUCAGAGGGGAAGCUAGUGAAAACUUGACUCUCAUAUUGACUUCCCAGAUGGACACACAGGUGAUUGAGGUUAUGGUCUCAUUACCACGAGGUAUUGUGUCCAUCUCCCCUGGGGAUCGACAAGAUCAGGUGUUGACGUGGGCGAGAGGGUCUGUUUGUGUGUUUCCACAGGACCAGAUGGAACCUCUUUGGGUGCCGGAGAGGUUGGUGAGAUGCUGCAAGAAUGAGGAUCCUGAUCCAGUUGCCCCUGUGGAUGUGGUGGAUGGUCCCACAGGCACAAAGGAUGGAGCCGAGAUGGGAGAUCCUUUCAGUGUUCCAGAAGCCGAUACCAGCUCGACAUGA